rnacentral:rRNA from 1 species
AGAGUUUGAUCAUGGCUCAGAUUGAACGCUGGCGGCAGGCUUAACACAUGCAAGUCGAACGGUAACAGGAAGAAAGCUUGCUUUCUUUGCUGACGAGUGGCGGACGGGUGAGUAAUGCUUGGGAAUCUGGCUUAUGGAGGGGGAUAACUACGGGAAACUGUAGCUAAUACCGCGUAAUAUCGAGAGAUUAAAGGGUGGGACCGCAAGGCCACCUGCCAUGAGAUGAGCCCAAGUGGGAUUAGGUAGUUGGUGAGGUAAAGGCUCACCAAGCCGACGAUCUCUAGCUGGUCUGAGAGGAUGACCAGCCACACUGGAACUGAGACACGGUCCAGACUCCUACGGGAGGCAGCAGUGGGGAAUAUUGCACAAUGGGGGGAACCCUGAUGCAGCCAUGCCGCGUGAAUGAAGAAGGCCUUCGGGUUGUAAAGUUCUUUCGGUAGCGAGGAAGGCAUUUAGUUUAAUAGACUAGAUGAUUGACGUUAACUACAGAAGAAGCACCGGCUAACUCCGUGCCAGCAGCCGCGGUAAUACGGGGGGUGCGAGCGUUAAUCGGAAUAACUGGGCGUAAAGGGCACGCAGGCGGUGACUUAAGUGAGAUGUGAAAGCCCCGGGCUUAACCUGGGAAUUGCAUUUCAUACUGGGUCGCUAGAGUACUUUAGGGAGGGGUAGAAUUCCACGUGUAGCGGUGAAAUGCGUAGAGAUGUGGAGGAAUACCGAAGGCGAAGGCAGCCCCUUGGGAAUGUACUGACGCUCAUGUGCGAAAGCGUGGGGAGCAAACAGGAUUAGAUACCCUGGUAGUCCAA